GAUGGCAUACCAUUUGCAAAAAAAGAAAACCCAAGGUAUUGCAAAUGGGGUAUGUAUACCCUUUUUUAGUAGUCACUUAGACACGAAAACUGGCCAAAAUUAGCGUUCAAAUUUGUUUUUUGCAUUUUUCACACACAAACAAAUAUGAACGCUUACUUUGGCCAGUGUUUGUGACAAAGUGGCUACUAAAAAAGACUGGAUAUACCCCAUUUAUAAUACUUUGGUUUGUUUACUUUUGCAAAUGGUAUGCCAUC